rnacentral:rRNA from 1 species
GGCCUACGGGAGGCAGCAGUGGGGGAUAUUGCACAAUGGGGGGAACCCUGAUGCAGCGACGCCGCGUGGGUGAAGAAGCGCCUCGGCGCGUAAAGCCCUAUCGGCAGGGAAGAAGCAAGACGGUACCUGACUAAGAAGCCCCGGCUAACUACGUGCCAGCAGCCGCGGUAAUACGUAGGUGGCAAGCGUUGUCCGGAUUUACUGGGUGUAAAGGGCGUGCAGCCGGGCUGACAAGUCAGAUGUGAAAUCCCGCGGCUCAACCGCGGAACUGCAUUUGAAACUGUCAGUCUUGAGUACCGGAGAGG